rnacentral:rRNA from 1 species
GUGCCAGCAGCCGCGGUAAUACGAGGGGUGCAAGCGUUAUUCGGAAUUAUUGGGCGUAAAGGGUGUGUAGACGGCGUAUUAAGUCAAUUGUUAAAUUUUUUGGCCUAACCAAAGACCUGCAAUAGAUACUGGUAUGCUAGAGGAUGGAAGAGAGAAGUGGAAUUCUCGGAGUAGCGGUAAAAUGCGUGGAUCUCGAGAGGAACACCAAUGGCGAAGGCAGCUUCUUGGUCCAUACCUGACGUUGAGACACGAAAGUGUGGGGAGCAAACAGGAUUAGAUACCCUGGUAGUCCACACUGUAAACGAUGAUCACUCGAUGUUGGUUUUGCUUUGCAAGAUCAGUGUCUGAGCUAACGCGUUAAGUGAUCCGCCUGGGGACUACGGUCGCAAGGCUAAA